UGUCUAUUAAUUGUAGACCUGUAUGAAAGGCAAAAUGAGGGUUUAACUGUCUCUUAUAAUAAAUCAAUUAAACUGAUCUCCUAGUAAAAAAGCUGGGAUACCCACAUAAGACCAGAAGACCCUGUGAAGCUUAAACUAAACUAUUAAACCCUAUAAUAAAUACUUUCGGUUGGGGCGACCUUGGAAAAAAAAAGAACUUCCAAACACAGUGAUUAUAACUCACACCUCUUAGGCCAACAAGCCUGCUAAACGACCCAGCAUAGCUGAUAAUUGAACCAAGUUACUCCAGGGAUAACAGCGCCAUCUUCUUCAAGAGUCCAUAUCAAAAAGAAGGUUUACGACCUCGAUGUUGGAUCAGGACAUCCUAAUGGUGCA
rnacentral:rRNA from 1 species